GUCUGUGGGGUGAGGGUGGUGGAGAACAAAGUUUUUACUGAUAUGGAGGCUGGGUUGAGAGCACCCACUCCUGAUGUGUGAAUACCCGACAUGACUCAGAGGAAAGCCAAACUCCAAGGUCGGAAAGCAUAUGUCACCAGCACCUUGUGUGGGUGUGUUCUGGGGUACGUCAGCUCGGGCUGAAGAAGCCAGGAUUCACAAACCAGCUUUAGCAUGAACCAGCUGCCUAACCUUGGACAAGUCCCUUUAUCUCUCGAGCCCCAGUUUCUCCACAGUAAAUCAAGGUCAAUCGUC